rnacentral:rRNA from 1 species
AGAGUUUGAUCCUGGCUCAGGAUGAACGCUGGCGGUAUGCUUAACACAUGCAAGUCGUACGAGAGUUUUUAACUCAAGUGGCGGACGGGUGAGUAACACGUGAGAAUUUACCUUUAGGAGGGGGAUAACAAUUGGAAACGAUUGCUAAUACCCCAUAUGCUUUUUUAAGUGAAAUGGAUUUUUCUGCCUAAAGAAAAGCUCGCGGCUGAUUAGCUAGUUGGUAAGGUAAUGGCUUACCAAGGCGACGAUCAGUAUCUGGUUUGAGAGGACGAUCAGACACACUGGAACUGAGAUACGGUCCAGACUCCUACGGGAGGCAGCAGUGGGAUUUUCCGCAAUGGGCGAAAGCCUGACGGAGCAAUACCGCGUGAGGGAAGACAGCCUACUGGGUUGUAAACCUCUUUUUUCAGGGAGGAAAAAAAUGACGUGUACCUGAAGAAUAAGCAUCGGCUAACUCCGUGCCAGCAGCCGCGGUAAGACGGAGGAUGCAAGUGUUAUCCGGAAUUACUGGGCGUAAAGCGUCUGUA